GUAAAAAGUGUUCACAUUCAAGAUAUCUGCGGACUCCGCUUGUUCAAAUGUGGAAAAGCCAUUCGCUGAUAAACAUGAUGGCUCCACUCUACCAACUCCGCACUUUCUUUGCGAUGCUUGCAAUUGUCUUCGUACUCUCAGCGUACUGCGUUGCAUCAGCACCGGCUGGGGCCGACGCUGCCAAAGUUGAUGAACGACAGUACAGCGACGACGAAAUCCGUGACAAACGUUGGUGGAACAUCGUGUGGAAUACAGCCAAAUUCUUUAUAGGCUGAUGAGGUGCAGAAGACGUUACUUAUUUACUUCAGUGUUUAUUUCAUAUUUUAAAAGAAGUUAUUGAUAAAUUUAUUAAAAUGUUUCAAGAGCAAAGACACAAUUCCUUAAGUGUGCAUGAAAAUAAAAUAAAAUAAUUGGAGCAAUUAUGA